rnacentral:rRNA from 1 species
UGCAGUCGAGCGGAAGGCCCUUCGGGGUACUCGAGCGGCGAACGGGUGAGUAACACGUGAGCAACCUGCCCCAAGCUUUGGGAUAACCCUCGGAAACGGGGGCUAAUACCGAAUAUUACUUCUGGCCGCAUGGCUGGUGGUGGAAAGUUUUUCGGCUUGGGAUGGGCUCGCGGCCUAUCAGCUUGUUGGUGGGGUGAUGGCCUACCAAGGCGACGACGGGUAGCCGGCCUGAGAGGGCGACCGGCCACACUGGGACUGAGACACGGCCCAGACUCCUACGGGAGGCAGCAGUGGGGAAUAUUGCACAAUGGGCGGAAGCCUGAUGCAGCGACGCCGCGUGAGGGAUGACGGCCUUCGGGUUGUAAACCUCUUUCAGCAGGGACGAAGCGAGAGUGACGGUACCUGCAGAAGAAGCACCGGCCAACUACGUGCCAGCAGCCGCGGUAAGACGUAGGGUGCGAGCGUUGUCCGGAUUUAUUGGGCGUAAAGAGCUCGUAGGCGGCUUGUCGCGUCGACCGUGAAAACUUGGGGCUCAACCCCAAGCCUGCGGUCGAUACGGGCAGGCUAGAGUUCGGUAGGGGAGACUGGAAUUCCUGGUGUAGCGGUGAAAUGCGCAGAUAUCAGGAGGAACACCGGUGGCGAAGGCGGGUCUCUGGGCCGAUACUGACGCUGAGGAGCGAAAGCGUGGGGAGCGAACAGGAUUAGAUACCCUGGUAGUCCACGCUGUAAACGUUGGGCGCUAGGUGUGGGGGGCCUCUCCGGUUCCCUGUGCCGCAGCUAA